UGAGGAAUAUUGGGCAAUGCCCGCAAGGGUGACCCAGCAACGCCGCGUGGAGGAUGAAUGUCGUAAGAUUGUAAACUCCUGUUAGAGGGGAAGAAUAGUACCGGUUGGACCGGUAUAUGACUGUACCCUCAGAGAAAGCCCCGGCUAACUACGUGCCAGCAGCCGCGGUAAUACGUAGGGGGCAAGCGUUGUCCGGAUUUACUGGGUGUAAAGGGCGCGCAGGCGGGAUAAAAAGUCAGUGGUGAAAUCCUACAGCUUAACUGUAGAACUGCCUUUGNUACUUGUAUUCUUGAGUUCGGGAGAGAGAGACGGAAUUCCAGGUGUAGCGGUGAAAUACGUAGAUAUCUGGAAGAACACCAGUUGCGAAGGCGGUCUCUUGGUCCGACACUGACGCUGAGGCGCGAAAGCGUGGGGAGCAAACA
rnacentral:rRNA from 1 species